rnacentral:lncRNA from 1 species
UUGACAUGGCAACUGUGUCAUAUUCUGACCUUCCUGGUGGUCAGUGAACCCCCAUACCCUAUGAGCGAGAUCCUGCCAAUAAAAAAAAAAAAAUUAAUUCUUAUUUCUUUUAUCUGCAAAUUGAGCAGAGAACUAUAAAACUGUGAAAUUAACAACAGAAAUGUGUGUUAUUGCUCAUUAAAGUAAAGAUAGCCCCCUUUUUAAUAUUUACUAAAAACAGUACAGUGAAUCAAUACAAUAGGUACAUGUACCUGUACAUCAUUUAACACAUGAUAGACAAAUCAAUUGUUUAUAAUAGCAAUUACAGACUCUAUUGCAUCAGCAGUUUGUAAGCCAGAAAUAAAUGGUGACAAGUAUUUUCUAGGAUUUAAAAAUCAAUUAGUUAUAAAAUCUUUCAAUAUUUUUGAGAAAAAAAAUAAUUUUUUUUGUACUUUUUGUAAUCCUUUGAUUUGUCAGAUUUUUU